AUGUUGCUGCGGUUAAAGGCUCGCAGUUGAAUGUCGGUUACUAUACGCAUUGAGAUGCCGAGACGUUGCGAGCGUGUUGUUUAUUCAUCACUGCAAGCCGUCUCUCCAAGUGCAUCUCUGGCGUGCUAACGUUUGGAUCAGCGCGGGCAUGCUCGUUUCUCUCGCUCGUGUGCACCUGUGUACCGUGCGGGUGGGUAUUGUUCCGUUGUUGGUCAUGACACCUUGAGUAAAUCAGAGUGCUUAAAGCAGUCGUUGAAACACUUCGACACUGCGGCGCAAGUCGUAUAUGUCUAUGGUGACGUCGUAACAGACGUUUGGACAUUGUCUUUGCUUUGCAUGGUACGUCGGAAGACGCCGGGUAAGUUGGUUGCGCUUACGGUCAGACACUCAUGUCGCCUCGUGUGGCGUGUGUGCGCGUGCACCAACGAACCCUGAAUGAACUGAAAGGGAUGGCUCGAAGGCAUUGGUAUUGCGGGGCGAGAGGUGAAAUUCUAUGACCCCCGCAAGACUUCCCGAAGCGAAAGCGUCUGCCUAGGACGUCUUCAUUAAUCAUGAACGAAAGUUGAAGGAUCGAAGGCGAUCAGAUACCGCCCUAGUUGCAACCGUAAACGAUAUCAACCAUCAAUCCGUCAAAGCGUUCCCUUGCGUCCGUUGGGCUUGUGAUUAAUAGUCGCGGCUCAUCGGGCAAAGUGUAAGCGCUUGAUGGGCAGCUCUUCUAUCACGGGAAACCAGAGUGUUUCGGUUCCGGGGGGAGUCUGGUUGCAAAGCUGAAACUUAAAGGAAUUGACGGAAAGGCACCACCAGGCGUGGAGCUUGCGGCUCAAUUUGACUCAACACGGGAAAUCUCACCAGACCCGAACAUCUCUAACGAUUGACAGACUGAAAGCUCUUUCUUGAUGGAGUGGAUGGUGGUGCAUGGCCGUUCUUAGUUGGUGGAGUGAUCUGUCUGGUUAAUUCCGAUAACGAACGAGACUCCCCCCUGCUAACGGAUCAUUUGGUCUAGUAGACGGUGCGAUUCGAGCAAUGGGGCCACACGGUCGUAAGACCUUGGCCUCGGACGAUGUCCACUGGUCCUUGGUACGUUGGCUCGUGUGUGUGCCCGCCGGUUCGCCGGUGCGGCGUGCGUGCCUGUCGACAAAGUGCCUCGGAAUACGUUUCUUCUUAGAGGGAUUGACGGCUUAUAAGUCGUAAGAAACAGAGAGCAAUAACAGGUCUGUGAUGCCCUUAGAUGUUCUGGGCUGCACGCGUGUUACAAUGCCGGUAUCAACGGGUUUCAAACACUUUCAGUGGCCUACUCCGAGAGGAGCGGGAAAACCUAUCAAACACCGCAUUGCAUACCGUACCCUUUUGGGUGCGGCGCAUUUACGGCAUGCUUGGGACUGGGGCUUGCAAUUAUUCCCCACAAACUAGGAAUGCCUUGUAGUGGCGGGUCACAGAGCCCGCUGCGAAUCUGUCCCUGCCCUUUGUACACACCGCCCGUCGCUACUACCGAUUGAGUGUACCAGUGAGAUUUUUGGACUGGCGAACCGCGAGCGCGCAAGUGCUUGCGGCGAACGACAUAAAGAGACUCGAACUGGUGCACUAGAGAA
rnacentral:rRNA from 1 species